CCUACGGGAGGCAGCAGUGAGGAAUAUUGGUCAAUGGGCGCGAGCCUGAACCAGCCAAGUCGCGUGAAGGAUGACUGUUCUACGGAUUGUAAACUUCUUUUAUAAGGGAAUAAAGUGUGGCACGUGUCCCAUUUUGUAUGUACCUUAUGAAUAAGGAUCGGCUAACUCCGUGCCAGCAGCCGCGGUAAUACGGAGGAUCCGAGCGUUAUCCGGAUUUAUUGGGUUUAAAGGGAGCGUAGGUGGGCUGUUAAGUCAGUGGUGAAAGUUUGCGGCUCAACCGUAAAAUUGCAAUUGAUACUGGCAGUCUUGAGUACAUUUGAGGUAGGCGGAAUGCGUGGUGUAGCGGUGAAAUGCUUAGAUAUCACGAAGAACUCCGAUUGCGAAGGCAGCUUACUAAGCUGCCACUGACACUGAUGCUCGAAAGCGUGGGUAUCAAACAGGAUUAGAUACCCUGGUAGUC
rnacentral:rRNA from 1 species